GGCCCUCUUAUGAAGAAACCGUUCUUACGGAAGCCCAGAUGAGACAACUUGAGACAGGAUUCAGAAACGCUGAUUUUAGUAACCUUAACCAUCGGCCCUUGGUGGGAACUUCGGCUCUGUGGGAAUUAGUCUUUGGGGGACUGAUGGUGAUGCUGAAAUCUUAUUGCGUAGGAAAUUAAGUACAACAAAGAAGACCCGUCGUGAGAGGAGAGUGCGGAAGAAAUGCGAAGUCUACGGGAGGUGGCAGCUGCAGAAGCUUGGUGUUGGAUUUGGAGUUAGGAGACCCGGAGGAGCCCAGCUUCCGGUCCAGACGGUUAUCUUGUUGACUUGCAGGACUGCAAACGCCCUGAGCUGCUUUUGCAGUCUGAAACAUCAGCGAUCCCAUCAAAAUAUUCUCUGUUUCUUGGGAUAUAAGAAACAUCCCAAGGCGGGCUGUAGAGCGAGAGAUUUGGACUCGAUUUAAAUACAGACAAAAUAGUAUGCAUUUACUAACACCACAUCUCACCCCCACGAAACUUGGUAAGGGCAGCAACGGAACUUUAUCUGCCAUAUGCACUCCUGUAUUCCUAUUACCAAAUAGUGCCAGGGACUAAGUGAAUAUUUGCCCAAUGAAUGAGUUUUAAGUAGGAAACGUUUGCAUAGAAUCAUUUUGUUUCUUUUGGAGUUCAAAUCUUCGGAUAUUUUACCCUUCCCAAUCCAAAGAAAAGUCUCUGAGUGAAGAGAUGGGAACAAAAUCCAAGCCCAGCAAAAGAACGGCACACAGCAGUUGCUGCCCAAGCCUGGGUGCUCCUGGUGGUCCUGCACGAUCGGCUGUGCAGUAGGCUUGUCAAGGAGAGGAUCCUCCCUGGCCUCUCCUUGGGCAGAGGAGGUGGUCCAUAAAGCUGCCCUGGAGCCAAAAUAUUGCAGUCACAUCUCGGCAGCGACCUGCCCUCAGGUGGCAUUUUCAAGUCAUGGAGAAGGCGGAGGUGAGUCCUGGCAUGGGCCAGCUUCUCCAUGACCUCCUGCAGGGCCCAGUGGCUCUCCCCACUCACAGACUUGCCCCCAGGCCCUGGGGCUCCAGGGCCUCUGGCCACCUCUGGCUCCUUCUGGGCCGAGGCCACCAGGUGAGCCAGGCGCUGGCAGCACACCCUCUGCUCUUUCACCUGCUCUUGUAACUGUGCCUGCUUCUCCUGGGCACUAGCUCCAGCGGACUUGAGAAAUGCCACCUGAGGGCAAGAUGUGAGCAUUCUUCUAGGGGCAUACACAGAAGAAAUGGGGCAGAGAGGUGGAGCGCAGCCCCUUCCCUUGGGGCCUCAGAGAGUGCACCUGUUGGUCGCAGGUGAAAUGGUGUCUGACCACUGGCUCUCGGAAGGGGUGAGGGUCCAGAGAAAUCAGAAGGCAGGGAAACGAAGAGCAUAAAGGGGUCUUGGAGGGACCACAGAGAAAGGUGGCAAAAUGGGUGCAGGGGGAGUCAGGCUCACCAUGGCCUCCCUGUUCUCCAGGUCCUCUGGGACACUCGGCACGGGCUGAGGUGCCUCCUCCCCGUCACUGUCCAGAUGUUCUCCUCCGUGCCCUGUGGGGGGUGGCCAGAGGGGUCUUCAGACAACCCAACAAGGGAGGUACUGUGGGCCCACCUCUACCUCCACCCUCACUGUGUAACCCUGAGCCAGCCCCUCCCCAGAGAAGAAUGAGCUGUUGUUCUUUAUUUUUACUUUUAAGAAUCAAGAUCUUGCUAUUCCGCCCAGGCACACUCCCACUACUGGUCGAUGUGGGAGUUCUGACCUGCUCCCUUUCUGACCUUGGCCAGUUCAGCCAUCCUUAGGCAACUUGGUGACCCCCCGCUCACAGGAGGUCACCACACUGAUGCCGAACUUAGUGCAGGCACCCGGUCGGCAUAAUGACCAGCUGUUCUAAAGGUCUCUUCCAACUCCUCAAUCCUAUGCUGCUAGCAGUCCCCCCUUCCUCCUGGGGCUCUCUCCUCUUCCUCUGAGCGGUCUCCCGUACCUUCCCCAGGGAGAGCCAUGAGGCUCAGCUGGGCUGUUAGCUGCUGGUUCUGCUGGCUGGCAGCUUCCAGGCGCUCCUAAGGGGCCAGGAAAGAGUGAGAAGGGAUGGAGUUUACCAGGUCGUCCCCCUCACAGCCCCAUCCUCGGCAGCUCCCUCCCAUGGGUCUCCUGCAACUUUUGGCAGGCCAUCUCGGCCACUGCUUUGCCCCAAGCUUCCUGCUGCUGCAGCUGGUUCAUUAGCUGGGUCUGUUGCAGUCACUGCCUGUACAGCGCCUCCUUCUCACAGGUCAGCUGCUGAUAGGCGGCCACCUGCUGCUGAUAGGUGGCCACGGACUGCUGCAGGUGACCCAGGUAAUGGUCUGGCUGCUGCUGCAGACUCUGAGCCUCUUAGCUCUUCAGCUCCACGUGCAGGAAGACCCUGGGUGUGAGGGCACGUGGUGGCUGGUUUCCAGAUUCUGGGCCCAUUAAUACGGUAGCGGUAGCGAGGGCACUGUGGGGCUCUGUCAGCUACCCAGGCCCCUGUCCCCUUACUCCAGGCCUAAGUGACUGCCUCCCUUUCCUAGAACCCCAUGCCUCCUUCCCCAGCCUCAAAUCUCAUACCCUCUUCUCAUUUAAUCCUCAGCACCUCUGUAAGGAAAAUGCUAACUUCCCUUUGAAGUUAAAGAAACAGAGACUUAGAGAUGCAAAGUACUUGAAUGGUGACCAGUGGAACCGAGGCUGGAAUCCAGUUUUAAUCUAAGGAGUCUUUUUGUUUUGUUUUCAGACAAGAGUGUCACUCUGUGGCCCAGGCUGGAGUGCAGUGGUGCAACCUCAGCUCACUGCAACCUCCACCUCCUGGGUUGAAGCAAUUCUCAUGCCUCAGCCUCCCGAGUAGGUGGAAUUACAGGCAUGCGCCACAAUGCCCUGCUAAUUUUUUUUUUUUUUUUUUUUUUUUAAUUUUAGCAGAGAUGAGGUUUUACCACAUUGGCCAGGCUGAUCUCAAACUCCCGACCUCAAGCGAUUCUCCUGCCUCAGCCUCCCAAAGUGCUGGGAUUAUAGGCAUGAGCCACUGCACCUGGUAUAAGGAGCCUGUUAUAGCACUGUCUCUUCCCCUGUGAUUGGGGGCUCCAUGCCUCUAGCUGGGAUGAUGAUGUCCAGACCUGAGAGGAGCCCAGGGCUACCCACCUUUAAAAGUCAGAGGCAGGAAGCAAGAAACAGUCACAGGACUGCCCUGGGGGGUGCUGUGGUCACCAGCCCCCAGGCUGGAAGCUGCCUCUGGCCUGGCACCUCCCCUCCCAAGAGGCUGCUGCCCACCUCCCAGCCCUUCUUGGAUGGGGUGGAGGUUUCCGUCUCCUUCACCUCACCAAGCUUCUCCUGUAGCUCCUUUACUUGCUGCUCCAACUGCAGUGCGCUCUUGUUCUCAUUGUUCUGGACAGUGAGAAGCAAUCGGCAGCCACCCACUGCAGCUGGAGACCCCAGAACUUGGUGUCUGCCUCCCAUGGCACUGGGAAGGCUGGAGGCAGGUUAGAAAAAUCACCCCCUCUCCCACAGCCACCUGGCUCACAGGUGCCUUUAGAAGUAACCUUUCACGUGAGGGCUACACUGCCCCAUUUUAGAGGUGGGGAAACAAAGGCCCGGAGGGCUAGGGAGGAGGGCAGGCUCCCCAGUUGGGGCAACGCACCGGCUCCUCAAAGACGCUCUGUGGCUUGGCCAGCUGCUGAAGCUUCUCAUGCUGCUCCUGAAGCCUCUCCUCCUGCUUCCGAAGCCUCUCUUCCUGCUCCCGAAUCCUCUCUUCUUGUCGCCGGUUCAGGAGACUUAUGUGCUGAUUGUUUUUGACCUGGGCCUGGAGCUCUCCUGCCACUCUCUCUAGUUCCUUCCUCAGGUGCUGCAGCUCCACCUCAGAGGGCACUGCUGGGGGCUCCGGGGGCAAGGGUUCAGCUGAGAAAGGAAGCAGAUAAUAAGGGCCUCUGGAUUCUCGAAAAAGAAAAACCCCCCUCUUGGCGCACAGCUCCUCUCAGGCUCCUCAAACUUGGCCUCACUGCUAAUGAUUCCUCGCACCCAGAUGGUAGCCAGUCUUCCAAAGCACUUUCAGAGAAAGAGCACUGCGGUUGGCUGACAACGGGCCCUCUUUGCUGAUGGGGACACUGACACACUGAGACUCAUUGAGAUGACAAGACUCGCCGUCUCCUGGCACAGAUCUCUUUCCCUCUGCCUCAAAGCCCUUCCAUCCACCCACCUCCCUGGGGCAUUCUAAGCCACCCUCACAGCCCUCUGAUGCCAGUCCUGCUCCCAGGUCAUGCCAGCCCCAUCUUACCCAUCUGGUUUUUAAGUUCGGACAAGCUCCUCUCCAGCUCCUCUACCCGAUGAGUAUAAUGCUCCUUCUCUGUCUUCAGUGUGUAAACCUGCCCAAAGCACAGGGGGAAAGGGCCCUGGAGAGAGGGGCUGGUGGCUGGACAGGCUGCCCUCUCCCUCUCUGCCCCCACCUCCACAAAGCCCAGACCCAUGACCACCUCUGGCUCUACUAUUCCCAUUUUACAGAUGCCCAGAAAGAUCCAGGGACCUAUCUAAUGUGGGGGGGCUGAAGGGUCAGAUCUCACCUCCUGCGACAUUUUUCUCAUCCUCUGCUGCCACAGGGCCCUCUCUCCUUUUAUACGAUCAGCAUACUCAUCUUUUUCUAAUUGGACUUGUUCAAAUGACUUCUUCAACUGCAAGAAUGGGCACAGAAGUUAGGAAGGGCUGUCACUGGUCCUCACCUGCUCCUGGCCACCUGGGGUCAUCGUCCUUCCACAUCCCUCCCUCGGAAAACCUCACCUGUGUCAGCUGCACUUUCAGUAGUGCCUGCUCCCGCACGGACUGCUCUAACCACCACUCCGUACGUGCUUUGCUGCGGCUGGACAACUGGAUGGUGAAGAGUGAGAAGUUUCAAUCUGGAGAGCCUGGGCAUUUCCACACAGUGCCCCUUAAAGGGGCUAGGGCUAGGCCCAGUAUACAACUCGGUCAGUAAAGAUCAAGGCAUUUCCCA